rnacentral:rRNA from 1 species
UACAGAGGGAGCAAGCGUUAUCCGGAAUGAUUGGGCGUAAAGCGUCUGUAGGUGGUUUUUUAAGUCUACUGUUAAAUACGUUGGCUCAACCAACGGCAGGCAUUGGAGUACUAAUAAACUAGAGUAGGGUAGAGGUAAAGGGAAUCCCUAGUGUAACAGUGAAAUGUGUAGAUAUUAGGGAGAACACCAGCGGCGAAGGCGCUUUACUGGGCCCCAACUGACACUGAGAGACGAAAGCUAGACCAGCGAAUAGGAUUAGAUACCCUAGUAGUUCUAGCUGUAAACGAUGGGUACUAAGUGUGGAGGGGUUAAACCCUCCGUGCCGCAGCAAACGCAGUAAGUACCCCGCCUGGGGAGUACGGACGCAAGGUUGAAACUCAAAGGAAUUGACGGGGGCCCGCACAAGCGGUGGUGCAUGUGGUUUAAUUCGACGCAACGCGAGGAACCUUACCUAGGCUUGACAUGUGGUCAGUAGCGAACCGAAAGGGGAGCGACCCGUCAAAUCGGGCAAUCACACAGGUGCUGCAUGGCUGUCGUCAGCUCGUGCCGUGAGGUGUUGGGUUCAGUCCCGCAACGAGCGCAACCCUCGCCCUUUGUUGCCAUCGGGUAAAGCCGGGCACUCUAAGGGGACUGCCAGCGACAAGUUGGAGGAAGGAGAGGAUGACGUCAAGUCAUCAUGGCCUUUAUGCCUAGGGCCACACACGUGCAACAAUGGCCGGUACAGACGGAGGCAAUGCCGAGAGGCGGAGCAAACCCGAGAAAACCGGUCCCAGUUCGGAUUGAGGUCUGCAACUCGACCUCAUGAAGUCGGAAUCGCUAGUAAUCGCAUAUCAGAACGAUGCGGUGAAUACGUUCCCGGGCCU